rnacentral:tRNA from 1 species
CGGUAGUUCAGUUGGUUAGAAUGCCUGCCUGUCACGCAGGAGGUCGCGGGUUCGAGUCCCGUCCGGA